ACCAAAGAAUUUGGUUCUUCUUGAGGUCCCUGAAAAUAGAAGCGAGUCAUGAAAGGGGGGUGACAACGAUAUCAGUUCAUACACAUGGGCUUGAAUACUUCCCAUUUACAAGGCCUCGGAAGACAGCAAGCCCCGAGGGGUUUGGAAAAGAAGGCAGGCAACUCACAUGAAGCCCAUAGGCAGACAAAAUAAGCAGUGUUAGCUGGUUGCCUGACGCUCUCACUGCCCCUCCGGCAUAAAUGCUGCGCUGCCAUCGCGGCAGGCUAAACAGAAAUGCUGAGCCUCCCAAGCUAAAGGGAAAGUCAGCCCUGCUGAGGAGGGGGGCGGAGGAGCUCAGUCACUGAGGCUGCCACACCAGAGUCGGGGGUGAGGGAUCAAGGCGAGGCUGACAGGUGACAGGGUGAGUGGAAAAUCCUAAGAGCAAAGCUUCUCAGGGACCAGCAACCCGCGCAACACAGGUGCGACAUGAAGACAUCAUCUGUGGCAGGCUGUCGCUGUUCCAACAGUUUUAUCAUCUUACAGAAGAUCAUGGAUGGUAAAGAUGAAGUUGCCUUUUAAGUGGGAAGAAUGGAACGUCUCUCUGCUUCCACCACAAACUAAAGUUAAGGUCUGUGAGGAGCAAGGAAGGACUUGAUGGUGAUAAAGGCACCAGGUCAUAUGCCAGGACCUGCCGCAAGGAGGAGGCUAUUGUUAGCCUGUUCUGCUCCAGGUGAGCAGAGUGUGGGCAGUGGGUCAGGAUCCCCAGUGUGUGCUCAGAUAUGGGGGACAAGGGGUUAGGUCCAUGAAUAAGCCUUCCCAGGGGUCUCACUCUCGACUCACAGUGUGGGCAGAGGCCAACAGGAAGCUGAUAACUCCUGAACGUCUCUCAGGGACAAAAUGGGCCCGAAAAAGAAACACACAGAGAGAAUCUUCAAGACAACGUGUGACACCUUCAGGCUGAUUUAACUCAUGUAUCAGAAAGGAGAAGGAAUUUGAAAGGAAAGUUUGAAAAGGCAUUUUCCUGGUGCUGUGGAAGUAAUCGCAUGUAACUGAAUAACAAAAUAAAAAAUGAAGACUUCUGUGAAAUCAAGCCCUUGAGAACUUCUUGAAAUGCAGAAGCACGGCCAUGCGAUAGGCCAGUCAAGGUUGAAUCCGGGUCCAUUAAAACAGAAAUGAGGAAAGGAAUCCUGACUUAUGUCCAGAUGAAAAUUUCCAAACUCCUUGGCUGCAUUCCUUAGAAUUGAUAGGAACUACUCGAGCUGCCACCUGGGACCCAUAGCGGAAGCUUCUCUCUGAGGAUGGCGAUGAGCCCACAUCAGAUGGAAACUCCUGGGUUCUCUGAUGACUGCGGGGCCACCAUACCAGUCCCGGACACCCUUCAUUUAUGUUGCUGGGUUAUUUCUUUUCUUUACAAUGAGCAUCAGCAUUCUUGAAAUGGAAGAAAUAAAAAGGCUUCGGACUCAGAUUGGCAGAGUUUGUAACUGGGUCAGAUGCAGAAUUAAACUAUAAUGGCCUAAAAUUACGAGUUGAUUCAAUUUGUACUUAAAUUUACAAGCACAAAUAACUUCAGUGAAUAUAUUCUUUCAAUGACUACAAAAUAGAUUUAUAAGGUUUAAAAAAACUCAGUGGGAGAUUCAAAAAUUGAGAUUUCCUCCUAAAUAGGAGAUAAAACAGAGAAAAUCACUUUGAUUUGCUGGAGUUAGUCAGAAGUAUCUCAUGUGGUCAUUAAAAUAUUCUUUUAAAACAUAGUUAUUGUGAAUACCUCCAUUCUCUCAUGUCAUUCUGCAAACAACGGAAACUUAAAGAAUAUACGAGAAGAAUUUUGUUCUUGCAGAAGAGUAAACCUUUUUAAAUCCUGGCUUUGUCCUGAUGCUACGAUGGUGCGUCCUCCGUCUUUCCAAAUUAGAGAACUCAGAUUCUAAGGCUACUUUCCCUCUUAUUGACUAAGCUUAAAAACCGAAGAACAAGUUAAAAAAAAAGACAAGAAAUAAAUACCUUGGCCUUAAAAAUAAAACCACAGACAGAAGAGAAAAAAAGAGAAAUUCUUAGCCUUAGGCAUCAUAUAAAGUGGCAUUAUUUAAAACAUUUCCUAAUUAUUUUCUGCCAGCUAAGAAAAAAAACCUCAAAGAGCAAAAGCAAUUAAAGUGUUUCAUUUUUUACAAAGUUCCUUUCACGCCUAACAGGAGCACAUAGAUAGACUAUGUCAGCGAAUGGGUUUGGUGGUAGUGGUUUUGAGAUUGUAUAAAUGGCACUUCCUAAUACAGAACCUUAGCUGUAUUAGAGCCCUAAAUUUUUACUUAUGUGCAGAGGCUCUCAUUUCACAUUCAAAAGACUGAAUGUGAGGGUGAGCUAUUGUUUGAAGUCUGUCACCUUUUUUCCAAAGGAAAAUGUUUUAGGAUCAUUCUGAACAUAGAAGGAAAACAUUUCAGUGAUGGACUAAUUUCAUGCUGUGGUUGUCAUUAAAUCUCUUUCCAAGGCCAGUCAUUAAUUUUGUUAAAAUAAUUUUUUAAAAAUAGUAUCUUUAGGUUAAAUACCAGCGGAACUGUCAGCCUGCAAGUCUCAGAGAUGGAUGCUUUGUGAAGUGCUACAAAAGGAUGAUCCUUCCCACAUCCUCAUGAAUUUACGUCACUUUUGUGGAAGAACAAGGCUCAAGACAGUCAAUGCCAAAGAUCAUCCUGUCUCCAGGCUCUGCUGAACCUGCCGAUCGGUGGGAAAUGACGGGAGACAAUGAGUCCACUGAGAGGUGAUGGAGAAUGGCAGGCACUGAGCUAAGAUACCUUAAAUGUGAUGCUUCUCAUGCUGACGGCCAACUGAAAACAAUCUCAUCAUUACUUCUUAUUAUGAUAUACAUUUUAAUUUGUUUUUCUCCUCAAUCUGGGUAUAGCUGCUAUGCAAAUAUGUCUUUUAAAUGUUUGGAUAGAGGCCACGCCCAUGAUGUUAAAAGUUAGCAAUCAGUAUUUAUGUAACUUCGUAGGUCUUGUGAGAGGGCGCAAAUCUGAAUGCAUACAUCUUACUAAUUAAGCUCAUUGAAGACAUGCAAUAAACCACACUCAAGAUGCAGUUACCUUUAAUUUUGGUGGAUUGAUCUCCUGUUGAUAAGAAUAUUUAGGGAGGAGAGGAGGUGAGCAGGGCUGAGAAAGUGUAGAGUCCAGGUCAGAAACAGAGGCGAAGAGAGAAUGAAAUGGAGGGGAGGAAAGCAGGUGGCUGGGAAAGGGUGUGGGUGCUUGCUCUCCCGAAGAAAAUGACGGAGGCUUAAAUAUCGAGGAAAGACGAGAGGUGAUUAUGCUUGUCUCAGAAUGAGGUUACAUGCUCUUUACGGAAUUUCCUCUCAACUUCCAACAUUUUAAAGUUACUAAUAACCUUGGGAAGUUAUAUUUAUGACAAAUUUUUUGCUUUGAAACCACUAACUUCCUCUUUUGAAUUUGAUUCAAAAUCCCCAAUGGUAUGAUCAGUUUAAUUUUUCGCAUGGGGGUGGCUGGAGAUAGGAACACCUAUAUUCUAUCAUUUUCUCAUAUAUUUAUAUGAUGGCUCCUUCUAAAAGUGAAGGAAAAAAGUAUUUAAAACCCUGCAAUGACUGUAACUUGCGUGUAAAGUAGGUUGCCAACUAUAGUCAGCGUGUCACAAAGCUGGGGAAGCCGUGGCCCCGCGUGCAGGGUGUGAGCUGGUGCUGGGAUGAGCCGGCCUAGGGUACUGUCUGUGUCAGCAAAGCCACACAUCUAAUCACACCUUCAGAUUGAUUGAAUUGAAAGGAAUAUUAGUUACUGAAAUAAUUGAUGUAGAGACACGUUUGGCUCCUUGCAAUGAAUUAUCUAUCUGUUAUUAAAUAAGGUGUUUGUUUUACACAAAUGCAGGCCUGGCCGGGUUAUUUUGAAAUACAGGAACUAUGAAAGAAUUUGACUUGGAUAGUAGCGUAAUAGGAACCAUCCUUUCUGUUAUUUCAUAAUUUCUAUAAUUGCCAGUAAUUAUACUUGCUUCUUAAUUCACAGGGUACAUUUGUGGGAUCAAGUUUCUUUUUAUUUUUGAAAUGGAGUUUUGCUCUUUUUGCCCAGAACGGAGUGCAGUGGCACAACUUCAGUUCACUGCAACCUCCGCCUCCCGGUUUGAAGCAGUUCUCCUGCCUCAGCCUCCCGAGUAGCUGGGAUUACAGGCACCCAACACCAUGUCUGACUAAUUUUUGUAUUUUUAGUGGAGAUGGGGGUUUUACCAUGUUGGACAGGUUGGUUUCGAACUCCUGACCUCAGAUGAUCCACCAGCCUUGGGCUCCCAAAGUGCUGGAUUACAGGCGUAAGCCACCGCAGCUGGCCUUAAGUUUCUCUUUUUUUUUGAGAUGGAGUCUCGCUCUGUCACCCAGGCUGGAGUGCACUGGCACGAUCUCAGCUCAUUACAACCUCCUCCUCCCGGGUUCAAGUGAUUCUCCUGCCUCAGCCUCCCGAGUAGCUGGGAUUGUAGGCACCCACCACCACGCCUGGCUAGUUUUUGUAUUUUUGGUAGUGACGGGGUUUCACCAUGUUGGCCAGGCUGAUCUCAAAUUCCUGACCUCAGGUGAUCUGCCUGCCUCGGCCUCUGGAAGUGCUGGCGUUGCAGGCUCGUUUUUUGUUUUAAGAGAGAGGUUUGCAAGCUAAAGUUUCUGGAUAUUUUCUGCCUUUGUUGAUUAAAACCACUGUUCAAGAUUCUUCAUAACAUGAAGAUACAGUACCCAGUUCUUAAGUAGUCAAUGUGAAGUCAACACAAAGAGAACGACCUCUUUAGAAAAUCGAAAGGGGACAGAAGUGCUGUUUUUCUUUUCUGUUGUCUUUGUUUAUUAUUAGCAUUAUUAUUUUUGCAAAGUGCCGUUAUGUCAAAGGUAUGGUGUACAGUUUCUCAUCCUGGAAUAGGACAAAUUUCUGGGCAUCAACUUCCUCUUCUCUAAAGUGGGGAUGAUAAUGUCACACACCUCACUGGGUUUUGACGAUUAAAGAUGUGGAGUUUUUAGAAUAGUGUCUGAUACUCAGUAAGAGCUCCACUAUUAGCUAUCAUUGUUAAUAUUGGAAGAUUACAAAGACUAUAUCAAUUACAAAGACUUUUACAAUAUAAGUUUAUGGUCCUGAAGAAAAAUGGGAUAAUGGAAUUAUAUCACAUAUUUACAUCAUUUAAUUAAAUAUGGUGUGUUUUCAUAUACCCACUCCACCCCCAUCUUAUAUAGUAUUUGUGUUUUUUGUUUAAAAAAAUCUGUUAGUCAAAAUAGGUAUUUAUUAAUAUGAUUAACUCUAAUAGCUAAUCAUGGUAAGGCCGGUUAGUUCUUCCAUAAUCAGACAAAAUUAAAAUACCUCAUUACUGGGUUUUGCUGCAUUGCUGUCCUCCUUGGGGGUCCUAGGAUCUGUGGGGGUGGCUAUGGGGUGUUUUAGGCAGUUGGGUUUCUCCUCCUCCUCCUCCUCUUCAAUGUGCAGGUGUGGGGUGCCCUCUGACCCAUCGUGGCCACACCACCAGGCGUCUCCUUCCUGAGGUUCUGGCGGCCCUCUCUGGAUGCCUGACACAAUCCCCUCAUAGAUGCCCUCAUCUUCCUCUCCAAUGACCGGAAGGGGUACAGGCAAGGAACCCACGCUGGUGCACGCAGAGGCCACAAAAUUAUCCCCUAGGACUUCUGGUGCCUUUUUAGGGUCUGAGAAGCCCCUUCUCAUUUUUCUCAACUCUGCAAAGUUGCUUUGAGUUGUCGUUCUGGGAUCCUGAAGAGGCUCUGCAUGGUAAGGCUGGGCUGCAGCCGAGGCCACACCCGCGUGAGUGGAAGGUGAUUCGGCAGGUGCAGUCGCUGGGGACAAUGGGAGGAGGACAGCAGGUUCCUCCUUAAUUUCCAGGAUGGCGU
rnacentral:lncRNA from 1 species